rnacentral:rRNA from 1 species
GAUGAACGCUGGCGGCGUGCCUAAUACAUGCAAGUCGAGCGAACAGACGAGGAGCUUGCUCCUCUGACGUUAGCGGCGGACGGGUGAGUAACACGUGGAUAACCUACCUAUAAGACUGGGAUAACUUCGGGAAACCGGAGCUAAUACCGGAUAAUAUAUUGAACCGCAUGGUUCAAUAGUGAAAGACGGUUUUGCUUUCACUUAUAGAUGGAUCCGCGCCGCAUUAGCUAGUUGGUAAGGUAACGGCUUACCAAGGCAACGAUGCGUAGCCGACCCGAGAGGGUGAUCGGACACACUGGAACUGAGAAACGGUCCAGACUCCUACGGGAGGCAGCAGUAGGGAAUCUUCCGCAAUGGGCGAAUGCCUGACGUAGCAACGCCGCGUGAGUGAUGAAGGUCUUCGGAUCGUAAAACUCUGUUAUUAGGGAAGAACAAAUGUGUAAGUAACUAUGCACGUCUUGACGGUACCUAAUCAGAAAGCCACGGCUAACUACGUG